AUAGUGACAAAGUAUAUUAUUUCAAGAUUUUUCUCCACCUAGGCUGAGUAUAGCAUCUAUUUCUGUGAAUUUCAAUGAUGCUUUGUUUUGGCCUUUGUAAGGGAUGACAUUUUUACCUAUAAUGAAUAUAAUUUUGCCUGACAGUUAAGCCAAAAAUUUUACAGCAUGAUUUUAAAACAGAGUUAAAAGGUCUUAACAACUUAAGUAGGAAAGAACAUUUCAUAACAUGCUGUAGUACAAGACAGUGCUUCAUCAGCAGAAAUAGCUUGAAAACUGAGAUAAAGCUGCAUUUCCAUUUAAAAUAUUUAUAUUACGUGGGGCAUAGAAACAGAAGUGUGUUUCUCUUGGCUGCGUUAAUUUUGUCACCGUCACCUUGCAGACUUGCAGUGUGUAACGUGCCCUUGCAGUGAGAAUAGCCACCACGUAAAACUCCAAACUCCGUUUGGGAAAGGUAAACUGGUCAUCGGGAAGCACAUGGAUGAAAUUCCAUCCCUCUUAAUUUCACUGAGAUAUUUGCCAUGAAAUACAUUCAGCCCAGCAUUCCUUUUGGUUUGUUUUGGUGUUCUCGGUGCUGUAGGCAUUGUACACCUGCGUCUUAUUCUGGUUUAAUAAGGUACUAGGAGUAAUCUAGGGAGUGAAGGCAGUUUGAAGCUAAGACAGCCCAAGAAACGCUGGUUUCAGCACUUUGGGACUUUCAUCAUCCCAAAUGAGGAGUAUGCAUCAAGGUGGAUGGGCCAGGUUUAGUUUAGCUGGGGUGUUAAGAUGCCACAAGAAACUCAGCUUGCAGCAGCAUCACAUCUUCUAGCCCAGUUCUGUGGAGCUGGUGCCUGAUGUUUUUCAUGGUUUAUUUGUAGGUUGACUGGGGCGCAGAAAGCUUGUGGAUCCUAUUUAAAAACUGUUGAGCAAGUCAGUUUGCGUGAUGUCUAUGAGACCACAAGGUAGCCCGGGCUUCCCAAGCACAGGACACUCAAAAUCCAAGCCUCAGUCUUUCCAUUGGCACAUGGAGAGCAUUUGUCUGCCACUGUAAAGAGCUUUGGGAUCUGCCUACCAGAGAUGUGCUGUAAGCACUUUUGUUACCUGUAUGGUAGUGUAACUGCCAGGGAAGCUAAGCAGAGAAGUCAGUGGAGCCCAAAUGCUUAAUUGGGAUGCACUGGUCAGUCCCACCUUUCUGCUUGCUUCCUGAGCCUUGGUUUCGGCAAGGAGGGAGCUCAGAGCUGUGGGUCAAAAGGAAAACACAUCUAAAAACACAUCUAAAGGAAAACGCGUCUAAAAGCAGGUGUACUUCAGAGGACAGUGCAUUUUCUCUGUCAAUCUGUCUCUAAUCUUGAUUUUUGCCUGCCUAUCUGUAGCUCACCACUUUGCUAUUCCCAGCUAUAAAGCAAAACUAUUGGCUGUGACAUUUUUAUCGCAUCACAAGGGAGGUUCCCAUUUAUGUGACUGAUGUGUUCACCCUGACCUCGAUUUCCAGAUGUUCUGGUUUGGACCUUUCACUAGAAUAGCCUAAGUAUCUUUGUGUAUGUUUCCCUUUGUACCAUCCCUUUUCCCCAUCUCAUUUUCGUUCUCUUCCUUUCCUACCCUGUUUGUGGCUGUAGUUUGUGGUUUCCUUGGGUAGGUGAAGAAUCAGUCAGAGUUAAAGUUAAAAAUGGGAGGACCUGUACAGAAGCAGAGGAUCAGCAGUGUUAAGUCGCUGUCAGUCACGUUUCACCCUCGUAGAACCUCUUUUCUGCAAUUUAGCACUUCCCACACUUGCAGGCUUUCUCUGAUGCUCUGUAAAUUCAUCUCAUCCAUCAGCCGUUGCUCUGUGGCUCACUCUCCAGAAGCUCACUGUGCCAUUGCCACGCUGAAAGCGCGCUGCUGUCUGCAUGGAGUCCUGCAGCACGGCCGUGUCUGCGUGUCGAGUCGCGAUACGAUAUGCACAUCUUGAUACGAGCCGACAGGGCAGCCCCAAUGCCAGGCUGCAGCCGUGAACCCGUGCCGAAAUCUGGGGGUCGUCGGUACGCUGCCAGAUGAACAAGAGGUGGAAGGGGCGGCUGGAUGAGUUUGCGGAUGUCUCACCAAAGCUGAGGUUUGCAGGAUUCGAAGGACAAGGAAACAUCUUAAGAUGGGAAGAGGAAAUGAAGAGCUAUGAAAAUGGGUCCACAGAAGACCAAGUGGUUUUGUCCUUGCAGCAGAGUUUGGUGCUGGUGCAGUGCUCUGUGCUCCCUGGGAUGGCAGCACUUGCUGUAAAUACACAAUCUGAGCAACUUGACUGUAACUUAAGGUGGAAUUAUUUGUAAAGAGCUUUAAGAGCUGGAGUUCUCGAGCUCAGGUUUUCUAUUUGUUCCAAACGACUGGUAGCAAUAUAAGUUACUAAUAGCAGGCAAGUGAAAAUGUAAGAAUAGGGAGAAAUAAAAAAAAUAAAACUAAAAAUCCAAUGUCUCUAAAAGCAGUUUUUAUGUGCACUGGGACCAAUUAUGGUUAUUGUGCCAUUACAGUGAAGAGUUAAGGUUAUUUAGAGCACUUUAGUUCUGCUUCCCCAAAUCCAGCAUGUUUGGCUUAUGUUUGUGAUGAAUAAUCAUUUGAGAAUUUCUUGGCUUUACAACACUUGGGUUGUUGAUGACCGGUUAUUUCUAGAACCAUGAAUCACCAGUAUAAACUCAACCUGAUUUUCAUCGUGCUGUAGCCAAUAUCUAGGAAAAUAAACCACUGUGC